rnacentral:rRNA from 1 species
GUAGGUGGCAAGCGUUGUCCGGAAUUAUUGGGCGUAAAGCGCGCGCAGGCGGUUCUUUAAGUCUGAUGUGAAAGCCCACGGCUCAACCGUGGAGGGUCAUUGGAAACUGGAGAACUUGAGUACAGAAGAGGAAAGCGGAAUUCCACGUGUAGCGGUGAAAUGCGUAGAGAUGUGGAGGAACACCAGUGGCGAAGGCGGCUUUCUGGUCUGUAACUGACGCCGAGGCGCGAAAGCGUGGGGAGCAAACAGGGAUUAGAUACCCUGGUAGUCCACGCCGUAAACGAUGAGUGCUAAGUGUUAGGGGGUUUCCCGCCCCUUAGUGCUGCAGCUAACGCAUUAAGCACUCCGCCUGGGGAGUACGGCCGCAAGGCUG